GCUGAUAUAGCUCAGUUGGUAGAGCGCACCUUGGUAGGUGAGGUCGGCAGUUUCGAAUUCGCCUAUCAAAGCA
rnacentral:tRNA from 1 species